AUUGUUGUGGUUGAUGAUGUGCUCUCUUUCCCCGACUUAUCGACAGUGGUGAAACAGAUGUUCAUGUAAAGCCAAUUAUGUUCUGAAACCACAAU
ensembl:snoRNA small nucleolar SNORD12/SNORD106